rnacentral:rRNA from 1 species
UACGGAGGGUGCAAGCGUUAUCCGGAUUCACUGGGCUUAAAGGGUGCGUAGGAGGGCAGGUAAGUCAGUGGUGAAAUCCCCGAGCUUAACUUGGGAACUGCCGUUGAUACUAUCUGUCUUGAAUGUUGUGGAGGUGAGCGGAAUAUGUCAUGUAGCGGUGAAAUGCUUAGAUAUGACAUAGAACACCAAUUGCGAAGGCAGCUCGCUAGGACGGUACUGACGCUGAGACGCGAAAGCGUGGGGAGCGAACAGG